rnacentral:lncRNA from 13 species
CGACUGAGCUCCCGCCUUCCCUCAGCGCAGCUCCGGAGAGGAUUCUGGGACCUGUAGGACGCCGCGAGAGGAGAGGGCUGGCGAAGGGUCGUCUUUGCUUGGCGCCGGGGCGUGGGCUGAGGAAAGACGCUGGGGUCGCGCCCCUGAAGCCUUCCUGAGUGGAGUUUACUUCAGCCAGGAUGUGACCUAUGAACCGCGGAGGUUCCCGUGCGAGUCCUGACUCCACCUGGCGGAAGGGAGGCGCGGAACUCCCGCGGGAGCGCCCCAGUCGAACACCUGGACAGUACCAUCUAUGAGGAACAGGCCCUCACCAGACAGCAAACUUGCCACGCCUUAAUCUUGGACUUCCCAAGCUCCAGAACGACAGUUCAAUUGAAAAGUCAGCUUUGGCUAGGCAUGGUGGCUCACGCCUGUAAUCCCAGCACUUUGGGAGGCUGA